AUUGAACGCUGGCGGAAUGCUUUACACAUGCAAGUCGAACGGUAGAGGGGGCAACCCCUCGAGAGUGGCGAACGGGUGAGUAAUAUAUCGGAACGUGCCCAGUCGUGGGGGAUAACGUAGCGAAAGUUGCGCUAAUACCGCAUACGAUCUAAGGAUGAAAGCGGGGGAUCGCAAGACCUCGCGCGAUUGGAGCGGCCGAUAUCAGGUUAGGUAGUGGGUGGGGUAAAGGCGCACCAAGCCAACGAUCUGUAGCUGGUCUGAGAGGACGACCAGCCACACUGGAACUGAGACACGGUCCAGACUCCUACGGGAGGCAGCAGUGGGGAAUUUUGGACAAUGGACGCAAGUCUGAUCCAGCCAUUCCGCGUGCAGGAUGAAGGCCCUCGGGUUGUAAACUGCUUUUGUACGGAACGAAAAGGUCUCUCUUAAUACGGGGGACUCAUGACGGUACCGUAAGAAUAAGCACCGGCUAACUACGUGCCAGCAGCCGCCGUAA
rnacentral:rRNA from 1 species